rnacentral:rRNA from 1 species
AUUGAACGCUGGCGGCAGGCCUAACACAUGCAAGUCGAACGAGUGGCGGACGGGUGAGUAAUGUCUGGGAAACUGCCUGAUGGAGGGGGAUAACUACUGGAAACGGUAGCUAAUACCGCAUACCAUCGGAUGUGCCCAGAUGGGAUUAGCUAGUAGGUGGGGUAAAGGGUCACCUAGGCGACGAUCCCUAGCUGGUCUGAGAGGAUGACCGGCCACACUGGGACUGAGACCCGGUCCGAACUCCUACGGUAGGCAUCAGUGGGGAUUAUUUGACAAGUGGCGCAAGCCUGAUGCAGCCGUGCCGCGUGUAUGGAGAAGGCCUUCGGGUUGUAAAGUACUUUCAGCGGGGAGGCGUUACCCGCAGAAGAAGCACCGGCUAACUCCGUGCCAGCAGCCGCGGUAAUAC